rnacentral:rRNA from 1 species
UACGGAGGGUGCAAGCGUUAUCCGGAUUCACUGGGUUUAAAGGGUGCGUAGGUGGCUUUGUAGGUCAGUGGUGAAAUCUUAGAGCUUAACUCUAAAACUGCCAUUGAUACUGCUUAGCUUGAAUCAAGUAGAGGUGGAUGGAAUAUUACAUGUAGCGGUGAAAUGCUUAGAUAUGUAAUAGAACACCGAUUGCGAAGGCAGUUCACUAUGCUUGUAUUGACACUGAGGCACGAAAGCGUGGGGAUCAAACAGG